UAUAGGCUAAUUAAGAGCGUAAGGGGGAUACCUUGGCUCUCAGAGGCGAAGAAGGACGUGAUAAGCUGCGAAAAGUUACGGGGAGUGGCACAUACAUAUUGAUCCGUAAAUAUCCGAAUGGGGAAACCCGAUUAUUUGAAGAAUAAUCAUCCAUAUUUAUAUGGAAGCUAACCCGGAGAACUGAAACAUCUAAGUACCCGGAGGAAUAGAAAACAAAAGUGAUUCCGCUAGUAGCGGCGAGCGAACGUGGAUCAGCCCAAACCUAAAUUGUUUCGGCAAUUUAGGGGUUGUAGGACCACAAUA
rnacentral:rRNA from 1 species